CGUGAGCGGCGGACGGGUGAGUAACGCGUGGGUAACCUGGCUCAUACAGGGGAUAACAGUUGGAAACGGCUGCUAAUACCGCAUAAGCGCACAGUACCGCAUGGUACGGUGUGAAAAACUCCGGUGGUAUGAGAUGGACCCGCGUCUGAUUAGGUAGUUGGUGGGGUAACGGCCUACCAAGCCGACGAUCAGUAGCCGACCUGAGAGGGCGACCGGCCACAUUGGGACUGAGACACGGCCCAA
rnacentral:rRNA from 1 species